rnacentral:rRNA from 1 species
UUUCUCAAUGGGGGAAACCCUGAAGGAGCGACGCCGCGUGGAGGAUGAAGGUCUUCGGGUUGUAAACUCCUGUCAUUUGAGAACAAGGUGCACAUGUUAACUGCAUGUGCAUUGAUAGUAUCAGAAGAGGAAGGGACGGCUAACUCUGUGCCAGCAGCCGCGGUAAUACAGAGGUCUCAAGCGUUGUUCGGAUUCAUUGGGCGUAAAGGGUGUGUAGGUGGCGCCGUAAGUCGGGUGUGAAAUUUCGGAGCUUAACUCCGAAACUGCAUUCGAUACUGCGGUGCUUGAGGACUGGAGAGGAGACUGGAAUUCAUGGUGUAGCAGUGAAAUGCGUAGAGAUCAUGAGGAAGACCAGUGGCGAAGGCGGGGUCUCUGGACAGUUCCUGACACUGAGACACGAAGGCCAGGGGAGCAAACGGGAUUAGAUACCCCGGUAGUCCUGGCAGUAAACGGUGCACGGUUUGGUGUGGGAGGAUUCGACCCCUUCUGCGCCGGAGCUAACGCGUUAAACGUGCCGCCUGGGGAGUACGGUCGCAAGAUUAAAACUCAAAGAAAUUGACGGGGGCCGCACAAGCGGUGGAGUAUGUGGCUUAAUUCGAUGCAACGCGAAGAACCUUACCUGGCCUUGACAUGCAUCUCUAAGCUGGUGAAAGCCAGUGACUCCCGAAAGGGAGAAUUUGCACAGGUGCUGCAUGGCUGUCGUCAGCUCGUGUCGUGAGAUGUUGGGUUAAGUCCCGCAACGAGCGCAACCCCUGUGAACUGUUGCCACCGAGCCGAGAGGCUCGAGCACUCUGUUCAGACUGCCCUGUGAAACGGGGAGGAAGGUGGGGACGACGUCAAGUCAGUAUGGCCCUUACGGCCAGGGCUGCACACCGUACUACAAUGCCCAGUACAGAACGAUCCGAGACCGCGAGGUGGAGGUAAUCUAGUAAAACUGGGCCCAGUUCGGAUUGGAGUCUGCAACUCGACUCCAUGAAGCCGGAAUCGCU